GACGAACGCUGGCGGCGUGCCUAACACAUGCAAGUCGAACGGAAAGGCCCUGCUUUUGUGGGGUUCUCGAGUGGCGAACGGGUGAGUAACACGUGAGUAACCUGCCCUUGACUUUGGGAUAACUUCUGGAAACAGCGGCUAAUACCGGAGAGGAGCUCCUGCAGCACGGUGGGGGUUGGAAAGUUUCGGCGGUUUGGGAUGGACUCGCGGCUUAUCAGCUUGUUGGUGGGGUAGUGGCUUACCAAGGCUUUGACGGAUAGCCGGCCUGGGAGGGUGGACACCCACCUGGGGCCUAAGGUACGGACCAGUCGGCAACGGGGGGCAACGGGGGGAAGUAUUACGCAGUGAGGGGGAGCGUGAGACGAAGGCCCCCGGUUCGUGAAGACGGCCUUGGGGGGAGAAACCGAUUUCGCCUGAGACGAAGCGUGAGUGACGGUAAUGGGUAAAGAAGCACCGGCUAACUACGUG
rnacentral:rRNA from 1 species